GUGGGGAAUAUUGGACAAUGGGCGAAAGCCUGAUCCAGCCAUGCCGCGUGAGUGACGAAGGUCUUCGGAUUGUAAAGCUCUUUUGGCGGGGACGAUAAUGACGGUACCCGCAGAAUACGCCCCGGCUAACUUCGUGCCAGCAGCCGCGGUAAUACGAAGGGGGCUAGCGUUGUUCGGAAUUACUGGGCGUAAAGCGCACGUAGGCGGACUUAUAAGUCAGGGGUGAAAUCCCGGGGCUCAACCUCGGAACUGCCUUUGAUACUGUAAGUCUCGAGACCGGAAGAGGUGAGUGGAAUUCCUAGUGUAGAGGUGAAAUUCGUAGAUAUUAGGAAGAACACCAGUGGCGAAGGCGGCUCACUGGUCCGGUUCUGACGCUGAGGUGCGAAAGCGUGGGGAGCAAACAGGAUUAGAAACCCCAGUAGUCC
rnacentral:rRNA from 1 species